rnacentral:rRNA from 1 species
ACGUAGGGUGCAAGCGUUAAUCGGAAUUACUGGGCGUAAAGCGUGCGCAGGCGGUUCUAUAAGACAGAUGUGAAAUCCCCGGGCUCAACCUGGGAACUGCAUUUGUGACUGUAGAGCUAGAGUACGGUAGAGGGGGAUGGAAUUCCGCGUGUAGCAGUGAAAUGCGUAGAUAUGCGGAGGAACACCGAUGGCGAAGGCAAUCCCCUGGACCUGUACUGACGCUCAUGCACGAAAGCGUGGGGAGCAAACAGGAUUAGAUACCCUGGUAGUCCACGCCCUAAACGAUGUCAACUGGUUGUUGGGAGGGUUUCUUCUCAGUAACGAAGCUAACGCGUGAAGUUGACCGCCUGGGGAGUACGGCCGCAAGGUUG